AACGAACGCUGGCGGCAGGCCUAACACAUGCAAGUCGAGCGACAACUUCGGUCCUAGCGGCGGACGGGUGAGUAACGCGUCGGAACGUUCCCUUUUCCUCGGAAUAGCCCUUGGAAACUGGGAGUAAUACCGGAUGAGCCCUUCGGGGGAAAGAUUUAUCGUCGAAGGAUCGGCCCGCGUUGGAUUAGGUAGUUGGUGGUGUAAUGGCCUACCAAGCCGACGAUCCAUAGCUGGUUUGAGAGAAUGAUCAGCCACACUGGGACUGAGACACGGCCCAGACUCCUACGGGAGGCAGCAGUGGGGAAUCUUGGACAAUGGGGUAAACCCUGAUCGAGCCAUGCCGCGUGAGCGAUGAAGGCCUUAGAGUUGUAAAGCUCUUUCAGCUGGGAAGAUAAUGACGGUACCAGAAGAAGAAGCCCCGGCUAACUCCGUG
rnacentral:rRNA from 1 species